rnacentral:sRNA from 1 species
ACCUUCCCCUAGUUACACCAGCAUCCUGCAAGAGACCCACCACAAAUGCUGAACUCCUGUUUUUCCCUCCCUUUCUUCCAACACAAUGAUCUAAUCCACAGAAGUGCUUCGGAAGCUUCCAUCGAUCGGGGCGCGUGCUACCUACGCUCGGCCUGGUGAUCUUCCUGAUUCUCCAGUUCCUCUGAAGAAUUCAAGGUGAAGACCAUUAGAAAACCAGAGUAAAUAAAGGAAGGAAUUGAAAGCCUGCAAGUAUAAUGUUCAAGGUGACACACAUAUAUUGCUCUGAUUGAUGAGUAGUAGUUCGUUAAGGGUGCUAGAUGCAUGUUGGCUAAUCAUUUCAGAUAUGAUAAGGUUCAUGCAGGGUGUUCAUUGGGUGGAGUAAUUGUUUUCCUUUAUUAAAAGGUUAGCAUACAUCAUCAUGAGCACUGUUUGUGUAGUGAAUACAAAUAGUGUGACCAUCUUAUACAUUGUUUUCAUUGUGCAAUCAAAUUUAAGUCAUGCCUUUCAAACUUGUACAGUAUUAAAUUUCGAUAUGGCAAGCAAGCUUAAUUCCAUAAAGAAGUCAUAUUAUGGAAUGACAUAGAUAUAGUUCAUUUUAUAUUGAACAAAUAGAGAUUUCAAAAGCCAAUCCAGCUUAUACUCAGCAAGAUGAAACAAAAAGCAUGAACAUAAUUUGAAACAUAUAUGCUCUUUAAAUUAGACUGAAGUGGGAUAGAAAGAUUUCAGUAUAAAACUUAAGGUGUUCUUGAACAAGACCGCACCUCAGAUAACACGAUUAGGCAUCGACAAUACUUUUCUGCUAUAUUAAUCUUUUAUUAUCAAUAAGAAUUUCCAGAGAUCCAUGGAAGGUUAGUUAAAAGGCCAUUAAAAAAACUUGUAGUUGACACAUCUCAAGCUAACAUUCUGACUAAAUUUGGUGAAACAGAAAAAAGGAGAAGAGGAACAAGAAAAAGAGCAGUACAUCUCAUGUUUGCACGCUAUAAAAGUUACCUGUUGUGGAUUGGAUCUGGUCCAUUUGGCACCCUCCUCUUCAUGCUGCUGAAAGCAUCACCAGCAUUGAAAUCUUCCAAGCUCCUGUGACUGUGAACUAGUCCUCCAUUGAUCAUCAUCCUUCUACCCCCAACACCAAGAACACUACUCCCCGGAGACGGCGGUUUCGCGCUUGUCUCCACCAACAAUGACACCAAAAUGAGGCCUCCAAAUAGGAUGGCCAAUGUUGUCGCUGAUACCCGCCUCGCUGACCUGGCAAACCUGCUCAUAAUACCCUAAUUUCUAUAUCUUGGGGUAUUGUCACCACCACCACCACCCCUCUAUGAGCAUCUCAUAGAGUGGUGCAAGUGAGGAAAGCCCCCCCUCAAAUGUGAGGCUUCUUCUCUCUUGUCUCAGCACAUUAUAUUGUUGUGGAGGCAGUGGUAUGUGUUUCUUGCUUCUGGUUUUCUUCUCAGCUUCUUUCUUCCUUGAGCUGCUGGCUCUGAUGUGCUUUUGAAGGGCCUAGCUAAUGAAGAGGCAUGGUAGAAAUCAAAGGAGGUGAGGCCAUGCUUGCUUUUGUCCUUUGCUUUUUGAGUUAUGUUGUUUUCCUUCUUUUGUUUCAUUUUUCUUUCUCUUAGAUCUUGAUUGGUAAAAAGAGCCAAUUGGAGUUUUAAGAUGGCAAACCGAAAAUGCUGUCUGAUGGACCAUCAGGGAUUACUUAGUUACCCUUGGAGCAAAACCAAGUUAGAGGAUAAUUUAGUUUACACAAAAGUGUUUAAGGUAAAGUUUGAGUAAAUCUAGGAGGAGGCAUGACACAUGAGAGAUUGCUCUGGUAAAGCAAGGUCCAAAAGCAGAUCCUUCAAAGUGUGAAGCACCCUGAAGAAAUACACACAUCUACCACUUUCAGGUGAUAUGUCACUGUCCUUAUUAUUAGAUUGUGACUACAUGGAUCACACUGUUCUCAUAAGCCCUACAUGGAUUACAUGAUCGUUGCAAGGACAUUUUCAGUCUACUGUUGAAAAUGUACACUAAUUCGACGAUUUUUCGCAUGCAGUAGAACAAAACUUUUGUUAGGAUCUAAACUUGUUCUCUGUGGAUUAGAAACAUGUUUUGAGGUAGC